UGCAGUCGACGGCAGCACAGUAUAAUUUCGGUUAUAUGGGUGGCGAGUGGCGAACGGGUGAGUAACGCGUAGGAAUAUACCUUGAAGUGUGGGAUAACUUGGGGAAACUCAAGCUAAUACCGCAUAAGCUCUAAGGAGGAAAGCUGGGGACCGUAAGGCCUGGCGCUUUAAGAUUAGCCUGCGUCCGAUUAGCUAGUUGGUGGGGUAAAGGCCUACCAAGGCGACGAUCUGUAGCGGGUCUGAGAGGAUGAUCCGCCACACUGGGACUGAGACACGGCCCAGACUCCUACGGGAGGCAGCAGUGGGGAAUUUUGGACAAUGGGGGCAACCCUGAUCCAGCCAUGCCGCGUGCGGGAAGAAGGCCUUCGGGUUGUAAACCGCUUUCGGACGGAAAGAAAUCGCAUGGGCUAAUACCCUGUGUGGAUGACGGUACCGUAAGAAGAAGCACCGGCUAACUACGUGCCAGCAGCCGCGGUAAUACGUAGGGUGCGAGCGUUAAUCGGAAUUACUGGGCGUAAAGCGUGCGCAGGCGGUUUCUUAAGCCAGAUGUGAAAUCCCCGGGCUUAACCUGGGAACUGCAUUUGGAACUGGGAGACUAGAGUGUGUCAGAGGGGGGGGUGGAAUUCCGCGUGUAGCAGUGAAAUGCGUAGAGAUGCGGAGGAACACCGAUGGCGAAGGCAGCCCCCUGGGAU
rnacentral:rRNA from 1 species